rnacentral:rRNA from 1 species
CAGUAGCCGCGGUAAUACGAAGGGGGCUAGCGUUGUUCGGAAUUACUGGGCGUAAAGGGCGCGUAGGCGGCCAUUCAAGUUAGAUGUGAAAGCCCUGGGCUCAACCUAGGAAUUGCAUUUGAUACUGUUUGGCUUGGGUUCGGGAGAGGUGAGUGGAAUUCCCAGUGUAGAGGUGAAAUUCGUAGAUAUUGGGAAGAACACCAGUGGCGAAGGCGGCUCACUGGACCGACACUGACGCUGAGGCGCGAAAGCGUGGGGAGCAAACAGGAUUAGAUACCCCAGUAGUCCCUGUCUCUUAUAC